GUAUGUUUUUUAAAGGAAGCGCAAACAUUUGGUUCAGAUAAUAUUGUGCCAACUUUUAUUAAUUAGGAGAAACAACAAAUUUGUCUGUUUACCUUUCAGCACAUGUAUGUAUUUAGAUAAGGAAUGAGGACCUUUGAAGUCAAUAGCUAGGGAGAACAAUGAGUACAUUUAUGAAUUAACCUUUUUUUUAUAUGAAUAAAACUAGGAAAUGGUUGCCUUGGUGUAGUGGACACUGUUGGGUGUCCUGUCUGGAUUUCCUGCAGUCCAAGCACCCGUCUGUCCUCUAGCUGCUUUGAGUGGUCGCUGCUCAUGGCUCACAAUGGCUCACUUUUCCAGAAAUUGCCCUCUGUCGAAUGGAAACUGACUCUCCUAGAGGUUAUAUUCUCCACACCUCAGCUUGCAGCAAAAACUGACUGAUAUGGAGUUAAAAUAUCUGGCAUCUCAUCUCAGGGUGGAACAAACUCUGCAUGUGAUUUAGGCUCCAGAAACCCUUUGGGUCAGGCCAACACUGGGCUUUAUCUGAAGCACUAUCUUUGCUUGACUCCUGGACCUUCCCUGUCCUGCUGCCCUCAGCCUCUU
rnacentral:lncRNA from 1 species